UUUGAUUAUGGCUCAGGAUGAACGCUAGAGGCAGGCUUAACACAUGCAAGUCGAGGGGCAGCGCGGGAUAGCAAUAUUCUGGCGGCGACCGGCGGAAGGGUGCGUAACGCGUGAGCGACAUGCCCGUUGCCCGGGGACAACCGGUGGAAACGCCGACUAAUCCCCGAUGGGAUACGAUGCUGCAUGGCAUUGUAUUGAAAGUUACGGCGGCGACGGAUUGGCUCGCGUCCGAUUAGCUUGUUGGCGGGGUGACGGCCCACCAAGGCUACGAUCGGUAGGGGUUCUGAGAGGAAGGCCCCCCACAAUGGGACUGAGACACGGCCCAUACUCCUACGGGAGGCAGCAGUGAGGAAUAUUGGUCAAUGGGCGGAAGCCUGAGCCAGCCAUGCCGCGUGCGGGAAGGAGGCCCUAUGGGCUGUGAACCGCUUUUGCCUGGGGGCAAUAAGGGCGUCGCGCACGUCCGAUGAGAGUACCAGGCGAAUAAGCAUCGGCUAACUCCGUGCCAGCAGCCGCGGUAAUACGGGGGAUGCGAGCGUUAUCCGGAUUCAUUGGGUUUAAAGGGUGCGUAGGCUGUGCGUCAAGUCGGGGGUGAAAUUCCGGUGCUCAACACCGGGGCUGCCCUUGAUACUGUCGCGCUGGAGUGCGGAUGCCGCCGGAGGAAUGAGUGGUGUAGCGGUGAAAUGCUUAGAUAUCACUCAGAACACCGAUUGCGAAGGCAUCUGGCGAAUCCGUAACUGACGCUGAGGCACGAAAGCGUGGGGAUAGAACAGGAUUAGAUACCCUGGUAUUCCACGCCGUAAACGAUGAUGGCUAACCGCCGGCGACACACUGUCGGUGGCCAAGCGAAAGCGAUAAGCCAUCCACCUGGGGAGUACGUCGGCAACGAUGCAACUCAAAUGAA
rnacentral:rRNA from 2 species